rnacentral:rRNA from 1 species
GACGAACGCUGGCGGCGUGCUUAACACAUGCAAGUCGAGCGGUAAGGCCCUUUCGGGGGUACACGAGCGGCGAACGGGUGAGUAACACGUGGGUGACCUGCCCUUAGCUCUGGGAUAAGCCUGGGAAACUGGGUCUAAUACCGGAUAUGACUCCAUGACGCAUGUUGUGGGGUGGAAAGCCUUGUGCGGCUAGGGGAUGGGCCCGCGGCCUAUCAGCUUGUUGGUGGGGUGAUGGCCUACCAAGGCGACGACGGUAGCCGGCCUGAGAGGGCGACCGGCCACACUGGGACUGAGACACGGCCCAGACUCCUACGGGAGGCAGCAGUGGGGAAUCUUGCGCAAUGGGCGAAAGGCCUGACGCAGCGACGCCGCGUGAGGGAUGACGGCCUCGG